CUGGGCUCCGCCCUUGGCCCACACACCUGCUGUGAAUCUACCUGAUGACCUGGACUCCUGGGCUAUUUAAGCUGAGGCUCAGAAGGCUUCUUCGCUGGGUGGUGGACUUACUCUCGUUCUCGCACUCGUCCGUGACCCCGAUCUGUUUCCCUGGUGGCGUGGAGUGGAGUGAGAGUGAGUGUGCUGAAAACAAAUACGAGAGGGGCGAGUGAGCGGAGCGAGUGUUGGACUUUGUCCCUUUUCCCCUGGACCAUUGCACAUCCUGCCCUGUACACGUGGGGUUUGUAAAUAAAUGGACAGAGUUCAUGUUCAUGGACAUCAGGAUAAAAACAGAAGAUGGAAACCUGCCAGAUUUGAGCUGCUCAUGUGUCGUCCCUGGGCAGGUCACAUGACUCUAUCCAACACACAAAGACACACAGACACACAAGAAAAGCCAGAGAAACAAAGACAAAUCCAAACAAUCCAUCAUACUGAGUUAAAGUGAUCACAGGUCUGCUUUGUUGGAGCCUUCAAAGUGUCACAUGUGGACUUAUUACUACCACUGAAGGCCACGCCCCUCUGGUCAUGUGAUCAUGUGGUUUGU